UACGGGGGGGGCAAGCGUUGUUCGGAAUUACUGGGCGUAAAGGGCCCGUAGGCGGCCAACUCAGUCGGAUGUGAAAUCCCCAGGCUCAACUUGGGAACUGCAUCCGAUACUGGAUGGCUUGAAUCCGGGAGAGGGAUGCAGAAUUCCAGGUGUAGCGGUGAAAUGCGUAGAUAUCUGGAGGAAUCACCGGUGGCGAAGGCGGCAUCCU
rnacentral:rRNA from 1 species